rnacentral:tRNA from 7 species
GGAGAGGUACGAAAGUGGCUGAACCGGCACGCUUGGAAAGCGUGUAGACCGCAAGGUCUCGUGGGUUCGAAUCCCACCCUCUCCGCCA